AAGUAAAGCAGGAUUUAUAAGAUUAUAGGCUUAAUAAAUUGUUUUAUAUUUUAAUUCAUUAAGGAUAAGCUUAGUGAAAAAUAGGGAGAAUGUAUAAACCAGAUAGGUUAUGUAGGCUUGAAAUUAGCUAUCAUAGUAGAACUUGUUACAAAAUAACUUAUUAAAUUGGGAAAAUUUUAAUACUUACCUUCCUUAAAUUAUAAAGGCAAUAGAAAAAAUCAUGUAGGUCUAAUCUGCGUAUGCUAAGAUGAGUAUUAUUUAAAUUUUCAAGAAGAUAGAGUAAACUAAAAAAUAUCUACAAUAAUAAUAUUUUUAAAGAUAAAAUAAGGAAAAGGAACUCGGCAAAUAUUAGCUCCGCCUGUUUAUCAAAAACAUGGCUCUUUGUUAACUUAAUAUAGGGAGUUGGACCUGCCCAGUGAAAAUUUUUAACGGCCGCGGUACCCUGACCGUGCAAAGGUAGCAUAAUCAUUUGCCUUAUAAUUGAAGGCUUGUAUGAAUGGUUUAACGAGAGCAUUGCUGUCUCUUCCUUAAUAAAUAAAAUUUGACCUUUAGGUGAAGAGGCCUAAAUACAAUUAAAAGACAAGAAGACCCUAUCGAGCUUAAAAAUUAAAUUAGAAACAAUUAUAAAUUUAAAUUUAUCGCUAACUCGUUUUUUGAUUGGGGCGAUCGAGGAACAAUAAAAGCUUCCUUUUUUAUUUUAGCUUAUAAGUAUUGAUCCAGUUAAAACUGAUUAAAAGAAUUAGUUACCGUAGGGAUAACAGCAUAAUCUCUCUUAAGAGACCUAAUCGAAAGAGGGGGUUGUGACCUCGAUGUUGGACUAGAAUAUCCUAAAGGCGCAGAAGUCUUU
rnacentral:rRNA from 1 species